rnacentral:rRNA from 1 species
AGACCCGAAACCCGGUGAUCUAGCCAUGGGCAGGUUGAAGGUUGGGUAACACUAACUGGAGGACCGAACCGACUAAUGUUGAAAAAUUAGCGGAUGACUUGUGGCUGGGGGUGAAAGGCCAAUCAAACCGGGAGAUAGCUGGUUCUCCCCGAAAGCUAUUUAGGUAGCGCCUCGUGAAUUCAUCUCCGGGGGUAGAGCACUGUUUCGGCAAGGGGGUCAUCCCGACUUACCAACCCGAUGCAAACUGCGAAUACCGGAGAAUGUUAUCACGGGAGACACACGGCGGGUGCUAACGUCCGUCGUGAAGAGGGAAACAACCCAGACCGCCAGCUAAGGUCCCAAAGUCAUGGUUAAGUGGGAAACGAUGUGGGAAGGCCCAGACAGCCAGGAUGUUGGCUUAGAAGCAGCCAUCAUUUAAAGAAAGCGUAAUAGCUCACUGGUCGAGUCGGCCUGCGCGGAAGAUGUAACGGGGCUAAACCAUGCACCGAAGCUGCGGCAGCGACACUGUGUGUUGUUGGGUAGGGGAGCGUUCUGUAAGCCUGUGAAGGUGUGCUGUGAGGCAUGCUGGAGGUAUCAGAAGUGCGAAUGCUGACAUAAGUAACGAUAA